CGACGUGGCACUCAUCCCCAUCACUCGACCGGCUGCCGACGAAGAAGCGUUUGUUUGUCGCAAAGGUUUCCACACUUUGAACGUCCAAGCCAUUUGCGAUUCAACCUUGAGAUUUACCAACAUAGUAUGUAAAUGGCCAGGUAGUACCCAUGACAGCUUCAUAUUCAGUAAUAGCAGAAUAGGAGAAAUACUCGAGAGAAGAGCUGGUGGAGAUGGCUGGCUGCUGGGCGAUUCUGGAUAUGCAUGCAGAUCUUGGCUGUUGACGCCAUAUGUCAACCCAAGCCCAGGGG